rnacentral:rRNA from 1 species
ACUCCUACGGGAGGCAGCAGUGGGGAAUAUUGGACAAUGGGCGAAAGCCUGAUCCAGCCAUGCCGCGUGUGUGAAGAAGGUCUUCGGAUUAGUAAAGCACUUUAAGUUGGGAGGAAGGGCAGUUACCUAAUACGUAAUUGUUUGACGUUACCGACAGAAUAAGCACCGGCUAACUCUGUGCCAGCAGCCGCGGUAAUACAGAGGGUGCAAGCGUUAAUCGGAAUUACUGGGCGUAAAGCGCGCGUAGGUGGUUUGUUAAGUUGGAUGUGAAAUCCCCCGGGCUCAACCUGGGAACUGCAUUCAAAACUGACUGACUAGAGUAUGGUAGAGGUGUGGAAUUUCCUGUGUAGCGGUGAAAUGCGUAGAUAUAGGAAGGAACACCAGUGGCGAAGGCGACCACCUGGACUAAUACUGACACUGAGGUGCGAAAGCGUGGGAGCAAACAGGAUUAGAUACCCUGGUAGCGACUGA